GAUGAACGCUGGCGGCGUGCCUAAUACAUGCAAGUCGAGCGAACAGACGAGGAGCUUGCUCCUCUGACGUUAGCGGCGGACGGGUGAGUAACACGUGGAUAACCUACCUAUAAGACUGGGAUAACUUCGGGAAACCGGAGCUAAUACCGGAUAAUAUAUUGAACCGCAUGGUUCAAUAGUGAAAGACGGUUUUGCUGUCACUUAUAGAUGGAUCCGCGCCGCAUUAGCUAGUUGGUAAGGUAACGGCUUACCAAGGCGACGAUGCGUAGCCGACCUGAGAGGGGGUUCGGCCACACUGAACCUGAGCCCCGGCCCGGACCCUUAGGGGAGGCAGAAGUAGGGAACCUUCGGCAAUGGCGAAAGCCUGACGGAGCAACGCCGCGUGAGUGAUGAAGGUCUUCGGAUCGUAAAACUCUGUUAUUAGGGAAGAACAAAUGUGUAAGUAACUAUGCACGUCUUGACGGUACCUAAUCAGAAAGCCACGGCUAACUACGUG
rnacentral:rRNA from 1 species